CGGGUGCACUGAUCCAGCCGGGCCUUUCCCUCUGUGGAACCCCAUGGCCUUCACUGGCUGUGGUGGGGAAACAGGACUUUUACUUUGAAAAAAUUAGAGUGCUCCAGGCAGGCCUAUGCUCGAAUACAUUAGCAUGGAAUAAUAGAAUAGGACGUGUGGUUCUAUUUUGUUGGUUUCUAGGACCGCCGUAAUGAUUAAUAGGGACAGUCGGGGGCAUCAGUAUUCAAUUGUCAGAGGUGAAAUUCUUGGAUCUAUUGAAGACUAACUACUGCGAAAGCAUUUGCCAAGGAUGUUUUCAUUGAUAAGGAACGAAAGUUAGGGGAUCGAAGACGAUCAGAUACCGUCGUAGUCUUAACUAUAAACUAUGCCGACUAGGGAUCGGACGAUGUUAUUCUUUGACGCGUUCGGCACCUUUCGAGAAAUCAAAGUGCUUGGGCUCCAGGGGGAGUAUGGUCGCAAGGCUGAAACUUAAAGAAAUUGACGGAAGGGCACCACCAGGGGUGGAACCUGCGGCUUAAUUUGACUCAACACGGGGAAACUCACCAGGUCCAGACACAGUGAGGAUUGACAGAUUGAGAGCUCUUUCUUGAUUCUGUGGGUGGUGGUGCAUGGCCGUCCUUAGUUGGUGGAGUGAUUUGUCUGCUUAAUUGCGAUAACGAACGAGACCUUAACCUGCUAAAUAGCCCGUACUGCUUUGGCAGUUCGCCGGCUUCUUAGAGGGACUAUCGG
rnacentral:rRNA from 1 species